rnacentral:rRNA from 1 species
AGGACGAACGCUGGCGGCGUGCUUAACACAUGCAAGUCGAGCGGAAAGGCCCUUCGGGGUACUCGAGCGGCGAACGGGUGAGUAAUGCUUGGGAAUCUGCCCAUUAGUGGGGAACAACCAGCCGAAAGGUUGGCUAAUACCGCAUACGCCCUACGGGGGAAAGCGGGGGAUCGUAAGACCUCGCGCUAAUGGAUGAGCCCAAGUCGGAUUAGCUUGUUGGGGGGUAACGGCCCACCAAGGCGACGACGGGUAGCCGGCCUGAGAGGGCGACCGGCCACACUGGGACUGAGACACGGCCCAGACUCCUACGGGAGGCAGCAGUGGGGAAUAUUGCACAAUGGGCGAAAGCCUGAUGCAGCGACGCGCGUGCGGGAUGAAGGCCUUCGGGUUGUAAACGCUUUCACCAGGACGAAGCGAGAGUGACGGUACCUGGGGAAGAAGCGCCGGCUAACUACGUGCCAGCAGCCGC